CAAUAGCGUAUAUUAAAGUUGUUGCGGUUAAAAAGCUCGUAGUUGGAGUUCUGCCAGGUGCCGCCUGUCCGCCCCAGUGGUGAGUACGUGGCGCGCAUUUGGCCCUUUCAGGGGGAGCGUAUCUGCACUUUAUUGUGUGGUGCGGGAUCCUUGACUUUUACUUUGAGGAAAUAGGAGUGUUCCAAGCAGGCUCUCGUCGUGCACAGCUCAGCAUGGAAUAAUAGCAUUGGACCUCGAUUCUAAGCUGUUGGUUGCCAGAAGCGAGGUAAUGAUGAAGAGGGAUAGUUGGGGGCAUUCGUAUUUAACUGUCAGAGGUGAAACUCUUGGAUUUGUUAAAGACGGACUACUGCGAAAGCAUCUGCCAUGGAUGUUUUCAUUGA
rnacentral:rRNA from 1 species